CCUUCCAUGAUAUAGAUAUAUUGAUCAUGAGGAGAGGGCUCACCCCUCACCCGGAGAAGUAGUUGGGGAAGCAAUAUGCGGAAACAAAGCCAUGAAUCUGACAAGAAAUGUACUUAAGAUUGUAUAUAUGGAGAUGAAUACCCAUUGUCCUUUGCACUUUCUGGAUGAUAAAUUAGAAAAGAAAAAUCCAAAGAAUGAAGUUGUGCUAUUUGUCCUCACUUCUGAUUUGGGAAACUAGAGGAAAUUAAGAUGGGAAAAGACCAUGUGAGGACACAGUGAGAAGGAGACCAUAUGCAAAGCAGGAAGGAAGAUCUCACUGGAACCAAAAACCAGCCCUGCUGGCACCCUGAUCUUGGACUUCUAGCCUUUCUCAGAACUGUGAGAAAAUAAAUUUCUGAUGUUUCAGCCACUCAGCCUGUGGUCGUUCGUUAUGCAACCCUAGCAGACAAACAGGGACCUAGCUUAAGAACUGGUUAAAAAUGAGGCCAGUGAGGAAUUUGAUACUCUAUGGUUGGGAAAGUUUGAUUUAUUCUAAGUGCAAUGGAAUGGAGCUGGGGAUAUAAAUUUUGGAUUUACUGGCAGGUGAAACAUAUUUUAAAAUAGACUAAAAUUAAAUUUCCUAAGGACAGAAUGUAGACAGAAAAGAAUCAAGGUUUUAUGACCAAGAUCCAAGUCACUCCAAUAUUUAGAGUUCUCCCAAGCAUUUAAAGAAGGCUUACACUGAUUCUAUGUAGCAUCUUCCAAAAAAUAGAAAUUUUUCACGGCAUCUUUCCAAGUCAUUAUAUGAGGCCAAAAUUACCUUGAUAUUUUAACCAAAGACAGUACGAGAGAAAAAGCUAUAGAUCAAUAUCUCACAUGAACUUAGACAUAACAUUUCUAAACAAAAUAUUAGCAACUUGAAUCCAG
rnacentral:lncRNA from 1 species